rnacentral:lncRNA from 1 species
GUCCAACUUCUCAUCUCUGUAUCUCUGUUCUUCAUGUACUACAGGCUUUUUUCUGUAGUUAAGUCAGAAAGCCAUGUAGACUUGCCUGCCCUUUGAAGACAGACUUUUAAGACUUCUAGGAAGAUAGCUGGGCAGAUGCACAAUGUGUUUGGGAAAGAAGUAUCAUUGGAUUAUUCUUUGAAUCUGCGUCAUGAAAAUUUGAUUUGUUAAUUCACAUGCCUGACAACAUAAUGCUACAGAUCUUCUCUUUUCUUGAUUUGGAUGACAUUGGGCAGCUCUCAAAAACCUGCAAAAAAAUUCCAAAAGAUGUGUAACAGUGAAGAACUUGGGGAGAAAUUUAACAUGUUACAAGACAAACAUGCUUUUGACACAAAGAAGGAUAGACACUUACAAGAAGUUGUAAGCUUUCCACCAAAAUGCAGGCCAACAGAAACACACAGAGAAGACAGCAUUUUUCUAAACUUGACUGAAGUGACAAACUUUUAAAAGUAAGGAUUUAAACUGAAUUUUCAUAUAAUAAUGACUAUCAUUAAACCUUACUAAAGCUGACACUGGGUGGAAG